rnacentral:misc_RNA from 1 species
AUUUUAUGUUUGGUGCAUCUGUGAAAUGCAGUUCAGAUUUGCAUUCCCAUGCUAAUUAUAAGAGUUUUAACCCGAUGUCUGAACCUGAUAAUGAUUGGCCUUGCAAAUUCGAUGAAAGUCCUGUGUUAACGAAAAGUCAAGCUAACCUUGAUUUUGGUCAAGCAACUAUUAAGCCCACAAAUAGCCUCAUCAUGUCAUACAAGGAGGAUGCUUUUGCAUUUUCAGGUGGGCAAUCUGCAGCCGAGGAUGAUGAUGAAUUGACGGAGUCUAAAAUUAGAGCAUUCCUUGAUGAAAAGGCAAUGGAUUUGAAGAAGCUGCAAUCGCCACUAUAUGAAGAAUUCCUUAAUUCUAUGAAUGUUUCCAGCACCCCAAGUCUAGCUGGCAUUGGG